UGGGGAAUUGUUCGCAAUGGGCGAAAGCCUGACGACGCAACGCCGCGUGGGGGAUGAAGGUCUUCGGAUUGUAAACCCCUGUCGUGUGGGAAGAACGACCCUGUGGUGAAUAGCCGCGGGGUUUGACGGUACCACGUGAGGAAGCCCCGGCUAACUCUGUGCC
rnacentral:rRNA from 1 species